rnacentral:rRNA from 1 species
AUUGAACGCUGGCGGCAGGCCUAACACAUGCAAGUCGAACGGUAGCACAGAGAGCUUGCUCUCGGGUGACGAGUGGCGGACGGGUGAGUAAUGUCUGGGAAACUGCCCGAUGGAGGGGGAUAACUACUGGAAACGGUAGCUAAUACCGCAUAAUGUCGCAAGACCAAAGAAGGGGACCUUCGGGCCUCUUGCCAUCGGAUGUGCCCAGAUGGGAUUAGCUUGUUGGUGAGGUAAUGGCUCACCAAGGCGACGAUCCCUAGCUGGUCUGAGAGGAUGACCAGCCACACUGGAACUGAGACACGGUCCAGACUCCUACGGGAGGCAGCAGUGGGGAAUAUUGCACAAUGGGCGCAAGCCUGAUGCAGCCAUGCCGCGUGUGUGAAGAAGGCCUUCGGGUUGUAAAGCACUUCCAGCGGGGAGGAAGGCGAUACGGUUAAUAACCGUGUUGAUUGACGUUACCCGCAGAAGAAGCACCGGCUAACUCCGUG